UUCUGUUACAGAAAGUACCGAUUUCUCAUAUAACCGUAUCUAUUCAUUGCUUGAACCCAGUAGUGCUUAAUCCGAGAGCACCCAAAUUAUGUUAAGUGCCUAUUAAUCAUACUACCCUUCAAACCGAUAACCUACAGGAGGACUGUAUAAUGCACUUUAGAGCAGGAUGGCCAAUCGGUAGACCCACAACUAGUUUAGAAUUGAAUCUCCCAUGAUGUUUUUUAGCCACCUCUGUCUAGAAAGCUACUGAAAUGUAAUAAUUCAAAGUUGCCCUUGUUCGCUUUGUCAUCUGAUGAUUUUAGCUCUCUACAAUUAAUAAUAGAAUUGGAGUAACUAUCAGACAUCUUGAGGGUAUGUUUUGCUAGAUUGCUAAAAUAUUAAUUUGUCACCAGAGUAUUUGAUUUUAAUUGUACAAGGUUUGUCUGCCUCAGUUCUAGAAAGCCUCAACGCUGACCAUUUUAGGAUUUAGCCAACAUAUAAUUAACUUUGUGUAUCACUAAGCAGUGUGUUGGUUAUAACCCUGUAAUCUCAGCAUGGUUCUAAGGCAGGGCAUAUGUAAUGCUGUUGUAGAUCGUGAAAAAUAAAAUUCUGCUUUAUGGACUGUUUCAAAAUCCAAUUAAAAACAUUCACCAUUCUCCCUG